rnacentral:rRNA from 1 species
AACGAACGCUGGCGGCAUGCCUAACACAUGCAAGUCGAACGAGACCUUCGGGUCUAGUGGCGCACGUGUGCGUAACGCGUGGGAACCUGCCCUUAGGUUCGGAAUAACUCCCCGAAAGGGGUGCUAAUACCGGUUAAUGUCUUCGGACCAAAGAUUUAUCGCCUUUGGAUGGGCCCGCGUUGGAUUAGCUAGUUGGUAGGGUAAAAGCCUACCAAGGCGACGAUCCAUAGCUGGUCUGAGAGGAUGAUCAGCCACACUGGGACUGAGACACGGCCCAGACUCCUACGGAAGGCAGCAGUGGGGAAUAUUGGACAAUGGGCGAAAGCCUGAUCCAGCAAUGCCGCGUGAGUGAUGAAGGCGUUAGGGUUGUAAAGCUCUUUUACCCGGGAUGAUAAUGACAGUACCGGGAGAAUAAGCUCCGGCUAACUCCGUG